UGAGGUGAGGAGGGUGUCCCAAAUGGCACCCUAUUCACUAUAUAGUACAUUUGGGACGCAGUCAGAGAGUGGGAGAAAGAUGAUGAUGAUGGAUGAGAUUAUGUAAUUAUAAAAAUAGAAACACUAGAACAUGAUUCCCCAGUCAAGUCAAUGGGGCUGGUGGUCUGAGGAUGACUCCUCAGUCAGGUCAAUGGGGCGGGUGGUCUGAGGAUGACUCCUCAGUCAGGUCAAUGGGGCUGGUGGUCUGAGGAUGACUCCUCAGUCAGGUCAAUGGGGCGGGUGGUCUGAGGAUGAUUCCCCAGUCAGGUCAAUGGGGCUGGUGGUCUGAGGAUGACUCCUCAGUCAGGUCAAUGGGGCUGCCGCGGUCUGAGGAUGAUUCCCCAGUCAGGUCAAUGGGGCUGGUGGUCUGAGGAUGAUUCCCCAGUCAAGUCAAUGGGGCUGCCGUGGUCUGAGGAUGAUUCCAGAGUCAGGUCAAUGGGGCUGCCGUGGUCUGAGGAUGAGUCCCCAGUCAGGUCAAUGGGGCUGGUGGUCUGAGGAUGAUUCCAGAGUCAGGUCAAUGGGGCUGCCGUGGUCUGAGGAUGAUUCCAGUCAGGUCAAUGGGGCUGCCGCGGUCUGAGGAUGAGUCCCCAGUCAGGUCAAUG